UAUUAUUUCUGGACUCUUAGCUGUUUUGCAGAGGUCGUGGAUACAGGUAGAUAAGCUAGCACAACAUUCUUUAUGUGGAAUCUUACAGGAACAGAAAAGAAUACUGUACUUAAAACGCUAACUGAACAUAAAAGCAAAAUAAGAGGAACAAUUAGUCCCUUUACAGAGAGAAACAGGAGAAUCCACUGGUCCAUAUCCUGAACCAUUUGACUGGGGCUGUUCAAGAACAAAAUUGGACCAUCUGGGAUCAUCUGAAUCUCAUUUAAUGAGUUUUCUGUAGACUGGCUACUUCUGUGCUCAUUUCCCUGCAGCAGUUCAACUUUAUUGUUAUCAACAAAGCAUUGCCAUUUUACCCACUGACUGAUACUCUGCCUCAUUCUUGAAAAAGAACUGAUAAGCCAAAAUCUACAAUUUCCAAAUAAAUAAAUUUUGGUGACCAAA